CCAUAGGUUAAUGAGGCGAACCGGGGGAACUGAAACAUCUAAGUACCCCGAGGAAAAGAAAUCAACCGAGAUUCCCCCAGUAGCGGCGAGCGAACGGGGAGGAGCCCAGAGCCUGAAUCAGCAUGUGUGUUAGUGGAAGCGUCUGGAAAGGCGCGCGAUACAGGGUGACAGCCCCGUACACAAAAGCGCAUGUGCUGUGAGCUCGAUGAGUAGGGCGGGACACGUGGUAUCCUGUCUGAAUAUGGGGGGACCAUCCUCCAAGGCUAAAUACUCCUGACUGACCGAUAGUGAACCAGUACCGUGAGGGAAAGGCGAAAAGAACCCCGGCGAGGGGAGUGAAAAAGAACCUGAAACCGUGUACGUACAAGCAGUGGGAGCCCCACCACCAAAGCAUUCUCUGGUGUUGAAGGCCCUGCAAAGCAGCAUCGCGGUGGCGGAGCGUCGUUUGCGACGCCCAACACACAAAACAAGCGGUGAGUGCUUUGGGGUGGGGUGACUGCGUACCUUUUGUAUAAUGGGUCAGCGACUUAUAUUCUGUAGCAAGGUUAACCGAAUAGGGGAGCCGGAGGGAAACCGAGUCUUAAUUGGGCGUUAAGUUGCAGGGUAUAGACCCGAAACCCGGUGAUCUAGCCAUGGGCAGGUUGAAGGUUGGGUAACACUAACUGGAGGACCGAACCGACUAAUGUUGAAAAAUUAGCGGAUGACCUGUGGCUGGGGGUGAAAGGCCAAUCAAACCGGGAGAUAGCUGGUUCUCCCCGAAAGCUAUUUAGGUAGCGCCUCGUGAAUUCAUCUCCGGGGGUAGAGCACUGUUUCGGCUAGGGGGCCAUCCCGGCUUACCAACCCGAUGCAAACUGCGAAUACCGGAGAAUGUUAUCACGGGAGACACACGGCGGGUGCUAACGUCCGUCGUGAAGAGGGAAACAACCCAGACCGCCAGCUAAGGUCCCAAAGUCAUGGUUAAGUGGGAAACGAUGUGGGAAGGCCCAGACAGCCAGGAUGUUGGCUUAGAAGCAGCCAUCAUUUAAAGAAAGCGUAAUAGCUCACUGGUCGAGUCGGCCUGCGCGGAAGAUGUAACGGGGCUAAACCAUGCACCGAAGCUGCGGCAGCGAACGUAUCACUUAAAGCGAUUCAGCGGAUGACGAUUGACGGAGCGAAGCGACGUCAAAGCGUAUACAAAGUCGAGUCGGUUUAAGGAUACGUUCGUUGGGUAGGGGAGCGUUCUGUAAGCCUGCGAAGGUGGCCUGUGAGGGUUGCUGGAGGUAUCAGAAGUGCGAAUGCUGACAUAAGUAACGAUAAAGCGGGUGAAAAGCCCGCUCGCCGGAAGACCAAGGGUUCCUGUCCAACGUUAAUCGGGGCAGGGUGAGUCGACCCCUAAGGCGAGGCCGAAAGGCGUAGUCGAUGGGAAACGGGUUAAUAUUCCCGUACUUGGUGUUACUGCGAAGGGGGGACGGAGAAGGCUAUGUUAGCCGGGCGACGGUUGUCCCGGUUUAAGCAUGUAGGCGGAGGUUUCAGGUAAAUC
rnacentral:rRNA from 1 species